rnacentral:rRNA from 1 species
CGGGUAGAGUAACACGUAAACAACCUGCCUUCAGGAUGGGGACAACAGACGGAAACGACUGCUAAUACCGAAUAAGUUCCAAGAGCCGCAUGGCCCAUGGAAGAAAAGGUGGCCUCUACCUGUAAGCUAUCGCCUGAAGAGGGGUUUGCGUCUGAUUAGCUGGUUGGUAAGGUAACGGCUUACCAAGGCGACGAUCAGUAGCCGACCUGAGAGGGUGACCGGCCACAUUGGGACUGAGACACGGCCCAAACUCCUACGGGAGGCAGCAUG